GCCCUCGUAACAGACAGCUCAGUCGGUAGAGAACACGAGGCUCUGAAUCUCCGGGUUGUGGGUUCAAGCCCCACGUUGGGCU